UCCAGGCUUGGCCGGAACAGUAGCCGAGGC
rnacentral:sRNA from 1 species